UGCCGCGUGAAGAGACAGCCCUAUGAGUUGAAACUUCUUUUCUGCUUCAGAAACGUCCCUACGUGUAGGGAUUUGACGGUACAGCAGGAAUAAGCAUCGGCUAACUCCAAGCCAGCAGCCGCGGUAAUACGGAGGAUGCAAGCGUUAUCCGGAUUCAUUGGGUAUAAAGCGUGCGCAGGCGGAUGGGUAAGUCAAAGGUGAAAGCCCGCAGCUCAACUGUGGAAUUGCCUUUGAUACUGCUCAUCUUGAGUCCAGCUGAGGUAGGCGGAAUGUAGUAUGUAGCGGUGAAAUGCUUAGAUAUACUACAGAACACCCAUUGCGAAGGCAGCUUACCAAACUGGCACUGACGCUCAGGCACGAAAGCGUGGGGAGCAAACAGGAUUAGAUACCCUGGUAGUCCACGCCGUAAACGUUGAUCACUCGUUGUUGGCAAUACACCGUCAGCGACCUAGCUAAUGCAUUAAGUGAUCCACCUGGGGAGUACGAUCGCAAGGUUGAAACUCAAAGGAAUUGACGGGGGCCCGCACAAGCGGAGGAGCAUGUGGUUUAAUUCGAUGAUACGCGAGGAACCUUACCUGGGCUUAAAUGUAGUGUGCAUUCCCGUGAAAACGGGAUUUCCUUCGGGACCCACUACAAGGUGCUGCAUGGUUGUCGCCAGCUCGUGCCGUGAGGUGUCGGGUUAAGUCCCAUAACGAGCGCAACCCCUAUCUUUAGUUGCUAACAGAAUAUGCUGAGGACUCUAAAAAACUGCCCGCGCAAAGCGUGAGGAAAGGGGGGAUGACUUCAAAUCAGCACGGCCCUUAUGUCCAGGGCUACCCACCUGC
rnacentral:rRNA from 1 species